AUGUCAAGACUAGCUUUCAGGGAUCAUUUCUAUAGUUUUAAACUAGGAAAUGUGUUUCAAAAGUGUUGAGUCUCUUGAACCAUGAUGAAGAGUGUUGAUGUGUUUCUCUGAGCGUGAAUCAAGGAAUGCUUGGUGAUAAUUAUCACAGAUCAUUGCUAUUGAUGAAUGUUCUUUAAUCUUAAUAAGAUUAAAGAAGAGAAGUGCAUGAUCAGAGUGGA